rnacentral:lncRNA from 1 species
ACUAGAUGUCAACGAUCUUUAUAAAGUUGUUUGAAGCGUCUAUGAUAAACAGAGAGCAAAUUAGAAUCCAAGGAAGUUGACAUGUCAUCACUUCAUUUUUUUGCGCCUGCGCAUAAAUCUGAGAAACGUGAGUUUUGUCUUCAUUGUUUAUCUCGACAUAGGAUAGGUUGUGUGAAAAUAUUACUGAUGUUUAACGUUAAAAAUGGACCAAAAGAUUAAUGCUAAACAACAUUUGACAUGUUUGAACGAACAUAAAUAGAUUAUUUACUAGGUUUUUUUAGCUUUUCGGCGUGAUUUUACAGUCCCCCACCACGUUUUGUGGGAGCAUAAUGAACGCUAAGUACUUGGUGUUAUUUGGACAUAAAUUAUGAACUUUGUCAAAAGAAACCACAUUUGUUCCGGACCUGGGAUGCCUUCCGGACCUGGGAUGCCUGUCUUCUGAUGGAGAUAAUCAAAGAUGAACAUGGUACCUUCAGGCGUUUGGAAAUUGCUCCCAAGGAUGAACCAGACUUGGCUGAUUUGUUUUGAUUUCCCCAUGAUGUCAAGUUAAGGGGCACUGAGUUUGAAGGCCGGUGGUAGCUGGUCCCCUCUGGACAUCGAGGGGGGCCCGGCGUAUACAGUAUGCUCCAUUCUGGACUCAAGGCGCCGGGUGGGGGGCCUGCAGUACCUCGUGGACUGGGAGGGAUACGGUCCGGAGGAGAGGUGCUGGGUCCGGGUGGGGGACAUACUGGAUCCAUCAUUGUUAGUUGAUUUCCAUCGCCUCCAUCCGGAUCGCCCUGCGCCUCGUCCUCCGGGUCGACCUCAAGGCCGGUGUCGGCGCGCUACGGGAGCCGUGUGUUGGGGGGGGUACUGUCACGACUACUGCCGAG